CCUACGGGUGGCAGCAGUGGGGAAUAUUGCACAAUGGGGGAAACCCUGAUGCAGCGACGCCGCGUGAGCGAUGAAGUAUUUCGGUAUGUAAAGCUCUAUCAGCAGGGAAGAAAAUGACGGUACCUGACUAAGAAGCCCCGGCUAACUACGUGCCAGCAGCCGCGGUAAUACGGAGGAUGCGAGCGUUAUCCGGAUUUAUUGGGUUUAAAGGGUGCGUAGGCGGAACAUUAAGUCAGCGGUAAAAUCGAGGGGCUCAACCCCUUUAAGCCGUUGAAACUGGUGCUCUUGAGUGGGCGAGAAGUAUGCGGAAUGCGUGGUGUAGCGGUGAAAUGCAUAGAUAUCACGCAGAACUCCGAUUGCGAAGGCAGCAUACCGGCGCCCGACUGACGCUGAGGCACGAAAGCGUGGGGAUCGAACAGGAUUAGAUACCCCUGUAGUC
rnacentral:rRNA from 1 species